ACCACUUCAAAGAGCUGAAGUGGUCUGGGUGCCUACAGUGUCCCUUUAAUGGGUCGCAACACAAACCCAAAAGGCAAAUCUGACUGUGAGUCACCAGGAAGAAUAACAGAGGAAACAACAUAACAGUGGAUGCAACUAAUAGUGGACUGCCAGAAAGCAUAGAAAUGUCAAAGUGCAUUUAAAUCAAAGUACUUGAGUAUACUACAUUGAAUUAAUGAAUCCAUGGAGAUAAAUACUGCAUUUAGGUGUGACUAUCUCGAUAAUUGCUUUUCAGAACUUCCACUGGAACUUUAUACAUCAGAUAAUAAUAAUACAAUAAAUAAAACAAUUAGCUUUACGUUCUUGACAGUUGAUUUCUAACUCUUCAAGUAGUGCAAUAAAUAUAUCUGUGAUACAUUCGUAGCUGAUAAAGUGCACAUAUUUUACUGUUUGCCGCUGCUUACCUUUAAUUCACCAACUAACUGACUACCAUUGGCAUUAAUCUAACUCAAACAUAAGGCCACUAAUGUGGAAAGCACAUUCCACUGGCUAUUCAGACAUCACCUACAAGUAAAUAUGAUCGAUCAAAUUCUUUGCAGAAUACAUAUUUUUAUUAUAUCUUUUCUUUGCAUUUAUCAAAAUGUAGC